UACGGGGGGGGCAAGCGUUGUUCGGAAUUACUGGGCGUAAAGGGCUCGUAGGUGGCCAACUAAGUCAGACGUGAAAUCCCUCAGCUUAACUGGGGAACUGCGUCUGAUACUGGAUGGCUUGAGUUUGGGAGAGGGAUGCGGAAUUCCAGGUGUAGCGGUGAAAUGCGUAGAUAUCUGGAGGAGCACCGGUGGCGAAGGCGGCAUCCUGGACCAAUACUGACACUGAGGAGCGAAAGCCAGGGGAGCAAACGGG
rnacentral:rRNA from 1 species